GGGGCUGGGGCUCAGAGGUAGAGUGCUCGCCUGGCAUGCGUGAGGCACUGGAUUCGAUCCUCAGCACCA
rnacentral:tRNA from 1 species